AGUGAACGCUGGCGGUAGGCCUAACACAUGCAAGUCGAACGGCAGCACAGUAAGAGCUUGCUCUUACGGGUGGCGAGUGGCGGACGGGUGAGGAAUACAUCGGAAUCUACUUUUUUGUGGGGGAUAACGUAGGGAAACUUACGCUAAUACCGCAUACGACCUACGGGUGAAAGCAGGGGAUCUUCGGACCUUGCGCGAUUGAAUGAGCCGAUGUCGGAUUAGCUAGUUGGCGGGGUAAAGGCCUACCAAGGCGACGAUCCGUAGCUGGUCUGAGAGGAUGAUCAGCCACACUGGAACUGAGACACGGUCCAGACUCCUACGGGAGGCAGCAGUGGGGAAUAUUGGACAAUGGGCGCAAGCCUGAUCCAGCCAUACCGCGUGGGUGAAGAAGGCCUUCGGGUUGUAAAGCCCUUUUGUUGGGAAAGAAAAGCAGCAGGUUAAUACCCCGCUGUUCUGACGGUACCCAAAGAAUAAGCACCGGCUAACUUCGUG
rnacentral:rRNA from 1 species